UCGUGUAUGCUGUUAUAUUUUGACAUGUGCAUAUUAUUGGGUAAGCAUAGUUUAUUUAUCAACAUUUAAUUUUACAAUCGGUUCCAGAAAUACUGACCUUCACGCUACUCCAUUAUAUUUCAGAUUCCCUUUGUUUAAGUUUCCCAGGAAGAAGCUUCGUUUAUCUGUGUUUCCUGAAGGAGAACCCUGAGAUAAUGUUUUCCGGAGAAUUGAACGUCCCCCCCCCCCUCGGGAUCACGCGUAUGGGCAAGCGGAAAACAUUAAAAGCAGCUUAUAAAAAUAUUGAUUGGAUAAUUAUUGCAUCUGUAUGUAGUAGUAUAAAUAAAUAAAUUUAAGCCU